ACUCAACACUAUUUAUUUAGAAAGGAUGAGUCUUGGUUCGUAGAGCAAGCCGUAUGUAUCAAUUUAUUUGAUGCCCAGAACGGAUCCUUGAUAAGCCAGUUAGUCCUAAACCUGUUUUUCGGAGUUU
rnacentral:sRNA from 1 species